rnacentral:rRNA from 1 species
AUGUCAACUUGCUUAUCUGACUUGAUUAGAGAACACUGUUUGGAUUUUGUUGGUAUUCAGGAAACUAUGAAAAAGGAUUUUUCCUCUAACUUCUUGAGGAAAAUUGAUCCAGGGGAGUGUUUUGAGUGGAAAUGGAUCUCCUCAGUGGGCAAAUCCGGGGGGAUUUUAUGUGGUACUAAGAAAGAUACUUUUGAUGUUAAAAACUGUGAAUCCGGUAAAUAUAUCAUGAAAAUUGAGGUGUGGGAUAAGAGUAAGAAGUUGAACUAUUGUAUACUAGUGGUCUAUGGAUCUGCUCACGAGGAGCAUAAGGUGGAAUUUCUAACCAAGCUUUCUGCUAUGUGUAACAAUAUUACUUGCCCUUACAUUGUGGGUGGGGACUUUAAUAUUUUGAGAUAUGCUAAGGAGAAGAAUAAGAAAACUAGAACAAGCCAUGCUUCUGAUCUUUUUAAUUACAUCAUUAAUACCUUCUGCCUUAGGGAGGUUGAUAUGAAUGGGGGGCUUUAUACUUGGUCGAAUAAACAACAAAAUCCUACCCUAGAAAAAUUGGACCGAGUACUCAUGUCCAGUUCUUGGGAGAGGCAGUUUCCUUUAACCUUUGUCAGAAAACUAGUCAAAGAGAUCUCAGAACACAGCCCUUUGGUUCUUAAUACUAAAGACUUUAUUCCUAAUUCAGUCCAUAAGAGAGACUUUAGAUUCGAUCUUAACUGA